CGGUAACAGGAAGAAGCUUGCUUCUUUGCUGACGAGUGGCGGACGGGUGAGUAAUGUCUGGGAAACUGCCUGAUGGAGGGGGAUAACUACUGGAAACGGUAGCUAAUACCGCAUAACGUCGCAAGACCAAAGAGGGGGACCUUCGGGCCUCUUGCCAUCGGAUGUGCCCAGAUGGGAUUAGCUAGUAGGUGGGGUAACGGCUCACCUAGGCGACGAUCCCUAGCUGGUCUGAGAGGAUGACCAGCCACACUGGAACUGAGACACGGUCCAGACUCCUACGGGAGGCAGCAGUGGGGAAUAUUGCACAAUGGGCGCAAGCCUGAUGCAGCCAUGCCGCGUGUAUGAAGAAGGCCUUCGGGUUGUAAAGUACUUUCAGCGGGGAGGAAGGGAGUAAAGUUAAUACCUUUGCUCAUUGACGUUACCCGCAGAAGAAGCACCGGCUAACUCCGUGCCAGCAGCCGCGGUAAUACGGAGGGUGCAAGCGUUAAUCGGAAUUACUGGGCGUAAAGCGCACGCAGGCGGUUUGUUAAGUCAGAUGUGAAAUCCCCGGGCUCAACCUGGGAACUGCAUCUGAUACUGGCAAGCUUGAGUCUCGUAGAGGGGGGUAGAAUUCCAGGUGUAGCGGUGAAAUGCGUAGAGAUCUGGAGGAAUACCGGUGGCGAAGGCGGCCCCCUGGACGAAGACUGACGCUCAG
rnacentral:rRNA from 1 species